GACGAACGCUGGCGGCGUGCCUAAUACAUGCAAGUAGGACGCAGUUGCGAACGGGUGAGUGAAGCGUAGGUAACUGCCUAUUAGAGGGGGGUAAAUCAUGGAAACGAUAGCUAAUACCGCAUACUCGUAGAUGGACCUGCGUUGGAUUAGCUAGUAGGUAGGGUAAUGGCCUACCUAGGCAACGAUACAUAGCCGAGCUGAGAGGGGGAACGGCCAAACUGGGAAUGAGACAAGGCCCAGACUCCUAAGGGGGGCAGCAGUAGGGAAUCCUAGGCCAUGGGGGGAACGUUGACCGGGCAAAGCCGGGUGAGUUAAGAAGGUUUUCGGAUCGUAAAGCUCUGUUGGUAAGGAAGCGGUACUUAACCAGAAAGGGACGGCUAACUACGUGCCAGCAGCCGCGGUAAUUC
rnacentral:rRNA from 1 species